ACCCCAUAGCCCAAUCCUUAUGAAAUUAGGGAAGACAUCACGCAGAGAACUCGUUCCCUAUAAAUCUCUCAUAUAACCCUCGUCAGUCGCCCCUGUCAAUCUCUCCCCCGCUCCCCCUCAAUAUCAAGCAACGCAGACACCGGCCCUCAAUUGUUUGAGAGAGGCGUAAUUUCUGGGAACUUUAUUCUCUAUUAUUUCAAGGUAAGCUUAAUUGUUUGCUAUUUUUAGAAAAUUUUAUUGGAGUUGCAAUUGUAGUCUUUUAUUGAUUUUCCUCUUUACAAUUGUAGUCUUUUAUUGAUUUUUCACCUUUUGACUGAUGAGUUUGAUUAUUACACCGGCAGAAUCUGCACUGUAAGAGGGACGAUAAGUUUAUAGGGUUCUUGAGGUGAAGGAUGGACAAUUAAUUCUUUGUUAUUCACUGUUUACUGGAAAUUAUUAAAAUUUCAUUCUUUGUUUGCCCUUUAACGUUCUCACUACCAUGAGACAUCUACAUUUAACAUGUUGCUAUUUGCGAGAAUUUUUUUGGGUUUUUUGCAAUGAUUGAUAUUUGAGAUGGAAUUAUAUUGUCAUAUGAUGUUUUGCUAUAACAUGUGCUCUGUUCUUGAUCUAAUAACAUGAUCCAUCAAUUAUUUGUUAUAUGGCUAUAGCAAACUAGAUUUAGUCCUAUUACCAGUUUAAGUGGUAAAAGUUAUUGUUACUUUUACUAUAAUUUCAUUUCGAAAAGGUGCUUGGCUGCUAUUAGUCAUAGUUUACACACACACACACACACACACACACACACACACACACACAUAUAUAUAUAUAUAUAUAUAUAUAUAAGCUUCCAUUUACUAAAAGAGCCACCUGCUUGUCUAAUCUUGGCUGCUCUACACUUGUGGCAAGGUUGGCAAGUAUACUGGAAGUAUCGAGGAAAAAGAAGUUCAAAUCUCGUACAUUAUACUUCCACUCCAAUUUAGAACUUACUAAACAUGCGCUCGAGGUACUGCACUGAAAACUAGUAGCAGACAAACGCACAUUCAAUUUCAAAAGGGCAUACUUCUGGUUUCCAAUGCAAAGCAUACUUUGCGUCAAACCUAAUCUUCUUUGAGGUGGGCUAGUUUCCAAUAAUUUCUGGACAAUCAUAAUCAAUACCAGAGGCCUCAAUCCUCUUUCGCCUUCUCUGAUCUGUUUUCAUAAUUCUUUCUACCAACUUCUUAUACUCUUCCAAAGUCCUUACCUUAUCAUCAGGGACGGAUCCAUGAUUGGAUCUAAGACCGGACUAUGAAAUUUCAAACUGGGCUGCUACGUGGGAAAAAAAUUUACAUAUAAAAAACUGAUUUUUUAUCCAAAAAAAUAAAAAAUACCUUUAAAAAAAAAUUGUUGGGCCUAGGGGGACUACAGCCCUGCCCUGCCCCCCCAAAUCCGUCCCUGCUUAUCAUGAUGACUCCUUUCAAUUUUAACCCAAUCCAAGGGUUUGUACCGGUGCGUCAUACCUUUCCAUAGUUUUGGAUGAACAUGCUUAGGAGGAACAAGCAGAACUUGCAACAGAUGCUCAAACAAUAAGUAGUUAUGCAUGAAUUCUGAAAUAACUUUUCCAACCUUAGGAGAUUCAAAUUCAAUGAAUCCAAAAUGCCUCGAUUUCCCUGUCUUCCUAUUCCUUCCUAUUCUGAGUCUCUUGAUUGUGCCAAAUUGCUUAAAGAAACCUUCCAUUUCAUUCUCAUAAAAUCCAUGUGGAAUUCUUCCAAUAUAUAAGACAAUUGCUUUAUUCUCCCUUUCUUCAAUCUUUGGAACUUGUUUUGAUUCAAGUUGCUGCUUGUCAAAGUUAGGAGGAGAACAAUUCUUUUUGAAUAGUGUCAACUAGUAGUUAAUAAAUUUUCAUUUCUUGAAGUUAUAAAGUAUUCUAGAGUUUGGUAGAGUGUCAAUAACGAUUAGCAUUUUUUUCCUGGCUAUGCCUUUUGAAAAUUGGUGGUGAUUCAAAUUAUUGGCAUGUCAUAAAGAUUUUCUGGAGUUAUGUAUUAGAAUAUAAAUAAUAUGGAUGCCAUCUCGUGCUUCAAAAUUUAUUUAGAAAAUUCCUGGUUGUGCCUUUUUUUUCUAGAACAAAGGUACAUUGAAGUGGAUUCACUAUAAUCACAACAAAGGGGAUCCAUAUUUUGUGGGGUAGCUAAAUUGUUGGUCAAAGAAGUGAAUUUUGAUAGGUUUAAUAAUUUUUUGUUAUAUGACGGAACCUCAAUAUCUACGGGCUUAUUAGUUGAAUGGCGAUUGGCGCAUACAAUAGUAGUCAAAUUUUUUUGAGAAUUGUUUAGAUGAUUUUACAUUGGCAUAUUGUAUUGAACCGUACUCAAUAUUUCUUUUUAUCAAAACAAUGGAAAACUUGAUUAUAUAUGGAGUACUUUUUUUGAUAA